CUCCAUAAGUCCCACAGAGAGAGGGAGAGAGACAGAGAGAGGUACCAAGAUGCAUGCGGAUGGCGGCGGCUAUGCAGCGACAAUGAUGGCAGCAACCUAUAGGGUGGACUAUGAGAGAGAGAGAACCAUAGAGAGAGAGAUUGUACCUGAGAGAUCUUAAUAAAGAAGAAGAGAUUGCGGUUGGACGGACUUCAAAGAGGGACGGUGGUGGAGGUGGAGGCGAAGUGACGAUGACGAUGGCAG
rnacentral:lncRNA from 1 species